rnacentral:rRNA from 1 species
UACGAAGGGAGCUAGCGUUGUUCGGAAUCACUGGGCGUAAAGCGCACGUAGGCGGAUUUGUUAGUGAGGGGUGGAAUCCCGGGGCUCAACCUCGGAACUGCCUUUCAUACUGCAGAUCUCGAGUCCGAUAGAGGUGGGUGGAAUUCCUAGUGUAGAGGUGAAAUUCGUAGAUAUUAGGAAGAACACCGGUGGCGAAGGCGGCCCACUGGAUCGGUACUGACGCUGAGGUGCGAAAGCGUGGGGAGCAAACAGG